rnacentral:rRNA from 1 species
CCUACGGGUGGCAGCAGUGGGGAAUAUUGGACAAUGGGCGAAAGCCUGAUCCAGCCAUGCCGCGUGUGUGAAGAAGGCCUUCGGGUUGUAAAGCACUUUCAGUGGGGAAGAAAGCCUUGGGGCUAAUACCCUCGAGGAAGGACAUCACCCACAGAAGAAGCACCGGCUAACUCCGUGCCAGCAGCCGCGGUAAUACGGAGGGUGCGAGCGUUAAUCGGAAUUACUGGGCGUAAAGCGCGCGUAGGCGGUCUGAUAAGCCGGUUGUGAAAGCCCCGGGCUCAACCUGGGAACGGCAUCCGGAACUGUCAGGCUAGAGUGCAGGAGAGGAAGGUAGAAUUCCCGGUGUAGCGGUGAAAUGCGUAGAGAUCGGGAGGAAUACCAGUGGCGAAGGCGGCCUUCUGGACUGACACUGACGCUGAGGUGCGAAAGCGUGGGUAGCAAACAGGAUUAGAUACCCUAUAUC